rnacentral:rRNA from 1 species
GAUCAUGGCUCAGGACGAACGCUGGCGGCGUGCCUAAUACAUGCAAGUAGAACGCUGAAGGAGGAGCUUGCUUCUCCGGAUGAGUUGCGAACGGGUGAGUAACGCGUAGGUAACCUGCCUGGUAGCGGGGGAUAACUAUUGGAAACGAUAGCUAAUACCGCAUAAGAGUAGAUGUUGCAUGACAUUUACUUAAAAGGUGCAAUUGCAUCGCUACCAGAUGGACCUGCGUUGUA